CUGCAUAGAUGAGACAUUGUCAUGUGUGGGUCUCAACUCAAAGCAGAAGCUCCAGCAAGUGCCUGUGCCAGACCCCAGCAUUCACAAUGACACCUUCACCGUCUUAAAUUUCCAAGGAAACUAUUUCCAACAUUGACGAAAAUGUAUGGAAAUCAUACCACUGAACUGAAAAACUGAUUCUCAGUGACAAUGAGUUGACUGAAUUACACAAGGAUUCAUUUGAAGGCCUACUAUCUCUCCAGUAUUUGUAAGUUAGUUAAUCGUUUAUUUAUGAGUUUUUAGUUACAUUUUCAAUGAAAAUGAUAAGGGGUUCAAAUCAGAUCAUCUCUAGAAUUUCUUCCUGUAAUAAAAUUUUGUAAUUUUCCAAGUUUGUACAGAGUUUCGGCCCAU